rnacentral:rRNA from 1 species
AGAGUUUGAUCCUGGCUCAGGAUGAACGCUAGCGGCAGGCCUAAUACAUGCAAGUCGAGGGGCAGCACAGGGUAGCAAUACCUGGGUGGCGACCGGCAAACGGGUGCGGAACACGUACAGAACCUUCCUUCGAGCGGGGAAUAGCCCAGAGAAAUUUGGAUUAAUACCCCAUAGUAUAACGAUGUGGCAUCAUGUUGUUAUUAAAGAUUUAUCACUUGAAGAUGGCUGUGCGUAUGAUUAGGUAGUUGGCGGGGUAACGGCCCACCAAGCCUACGAUCAUUAACUGGUGUGAGAGCACGACCAGUCACACGGGCACUGAGACACGGGCCCGACUCCUACGGGAGGCAGCAGUAAGGAAUAUUGGUCAAUGGACGCAAGUCUGAACCAGCCAUGCCGCGUGGAGGAUGAAGGUCCUCUGGAUUGUAAACUUCUUUUAUCUGGGACGAAAAAAGGCUUUUCUAAGUCGUCUGACGGUACCAGAUGAAUAAGCACCGGCUAACUCCGUGCCAGCAGCCGCGGUAAUACGGAGGGUGCAAGCGUUAUCCGGAUUCACUGGGUUUAAAGGGUGCGUAGGCGGGCAAUUAAGUCUGUGGUGAAAUCUCUGAGCUUAACUCGGAAACUGCCAUGGAUACUAUUUGUCUUGAAUGUUGUGGAGGUGAGCGGAAUAUGUCAUGUAGCGGUGAAAUGCUUAGAUAUGACAUAGAACACCAAUUGCGAAGGCAGCUCACUACACAAAUAUUGACGCUGAGGCACGAAAGCGUGGGGAUCAAACAGGAUUAGAUACCCUGGUAGUCCACGCC